GGAGGGGUGCCUGAGUCUGGUUUAAAGGGUCCGACUCGAAAUCGGAUUCUCGAUUAAAGUCGAGACGGGGGUUCAAAUCCCUCCCCCUCCG
rnacentral:tRNA from 1 species